rnacentral:rRNA from 1 species
UGAGGAAUAUUGGUCAAUGGGCGGGAGCCUGAACCAGCCAAGCCGCGUGAGGGAAGACGGCGCUAUGAGUUGUAAACCUCUUUUGCCGGGGAACAAAUGCGGGGAUGCAUCCCUGUUUGAGUGUACCCGGAGAAAAAGCAUCGGCUAACUCCGUGCC